CCCCAUGGAGCUACACAGAGGACUUAGAGUCUCACGCCAUGUCCUAAUGUAACAAAGGGGCUGAGAGUUCUAAUGUGGAUGGACAAGUGAUUCUCUCACUGGGAUCUACAGAUGCUUUCAGUGAUAAGAAUGAUACCUAAUAUAAGUUAGUUAGGACUUCUCCUUUGAUUCCAAGCUUGCAACAUCAGUACUGACAAAGUUAAAUGAAAGACUACACGGGAGAGAGUCUGGGUGGCCUCUCAAAUGGAAAGGGAGCACGUGGCAGGAGCUCAGGUACAGAAGAAUAAUGCCUGUGCUCCAGUUCCAGGGUAAGGAACCGCUCUCAGGGUGGCAGCAAGAAAUAAAGAUGCAAAUGGCCUGGACACCAUCCCUCAGUGCUAAUAAAAUGCUAGAGUGUAAACAGUGCAAA